UUUUAUUUAUUUUUUUUAUUUUUUAUUUUUUUCACAAAACCUGUCACAAAUUAGAAAUCAAAGGCCAUUUUCUACCUUGCUUACAUCUUUGCAUAUAAAGUGUGAAACUCUUUUGAAAACUUUGAUUAACUAAUCACAAAGUGUUUUAGCAUUAUAUUUAGAUCUAGACUGAUUGUUGCAGAAAUUAUCUCAUUGCAACUUGAUUUGAGUGCACACACACACACACAGGAUGUAAAUAAGAGAUUCAUUAAGGAGUGCAGACAGUGUGCUGUUUGAUUGACAGCUCAAUUAUAAAGGGAGUGUUUUUGCAUGAUUUCUAUAUAUAAUUUGAACAAAAUAUAAAUUACAAAUUAUUUCCAUUCUACAAAGACUAAACAAAGCAUGCAAACAGUUUUGUGCUGAUGUAUUCGUCUCUAUUACAUAUUAAAAACCUGGAAGCUUUGAGUUCGGAAACUCACAGUGUGUUUAUAUAUUAGCUUACAAAGGCCAGAUAAGGUAAAAUUUUAAUUCAUGACCCCUUUAAAAUGAAAAUGCAAUCAUUACUAUUCUUGUUUUUGUUGCAUCUGAUCAUCAUCAGCUAAUUUAAUACGUUGCAGGUGGAUCUCCCAUUAACGAUGAAGUGAAGGUUGUUCAUGUUGAAGACAGUGGGAUUUCAUUUGAGAAAUGCACGUUAACUAGAUUCCACGCCAAACUUCUGAACCAAUCCUUCUCCCCGAAAGGUCUUCUUUUGAGGAAUGGCUUCUCUGUGUAUUACCACUGCGAAACACUUAUCUAUGAAACUCAGAAAUCAUACCUGACGCUUCAUGUGUACUUGAUUCCAAGUGAGAAAAAAAUGAUAGAGGCUGCUGAAAACAAUGAGAAUAAAAUCAAGUCAAAGCUCAUCUCAAAGCCAGGGCCUGUAUCCUCGCUUCAGACGAAGACUUGUUAUUCACUGAGGACACUGGAUGAGAAUAAGAAGUCUGAGUGCCGUUCUGAAGUUCAACCCAAGCAGUUAGAGCUCAAGUACAAGCCCAUAAAUCCAGACUUCUUUGAAGUAUUCAUUGCUGCUCCAACGGAUUUUCACCUUCAGCUGAUACAACGACAUCGCAGUGAAGGUGUAUGGGAAGCCAAAAUACGUGACGGUGAUUACACCCAGAGAGUUUCUUCAGAGGGUAAGUGA
ensembl:lncRNA